rnacentral:rRNA from 1 species
CCUACGGGAGGCAGCAGUAGGGAAUUUUGCGCAAUGGGCGAAAGCCUGACGCAGCAACACCGCGUGAAUGUUAAGCCCUUCGGGGUGUAAAGUUCUGUCAAUAGGGACGAAUUUUGACUGUACCUAUAAAGGAAGCACCGGCUAACUCCGUGCCAGCAGCCGCGGUAAUACGGAGGAUGCGAGCGUUAUCCGGAUUUAUUGGGUUUAAAGGGUGCGCAGGCGGCCUGUUAAGUCAGCGGUAAAAGCCCGGGGCUCAACCCCGGCGAGCCGUUGAAACUGGCGGGCUGGAGUUGGAGAGAAGUACGCGGAAUGCGCGGUGUAGCGGUGAAAUGCUUAGAUAUCGCGCAGAACCCCGAUUGCGAAGGCAGCGUACCGGCUCCACACUGACGCUGAGGCACGAAAGCGUGGGUAUCGAACAGGAUUAGAUACCCGAGUAGUC